UACAGAGGGUGCGAGCGUUAAUCGGAAUUACUGGGCGUAAAGCGUGCGUAGACGGCUAUCUAAGUCGGGUGUGAAAGCCCCGGGCUCAACCUGGGAAUUGCAUUCGAGACUGAAUAGCUAGGGUGCGGUAGAGGGAAGCGGAAUUUCCGGUGUAGCGGUGAAAUGCGUAGAUAUCGGAAGGAACAUCAGUGGCGAAAGCGGCUUCCUGGACCAGCACC
rnacentral:rRNA from 1 species